AGAAGACUGUGACUCACACCUCGAAUAGACCGUCUUUCUUUUUGCAAGGAGGAGGCCCGGAAGGAUGUCUCACUGGGAUCUCGGGGAGCACAUGAGACAGCAGAGGCACCCAGGAAGAGGUGGGAGAGUGGUGAAGUAAGACCAAUGAGAAGUACAUCGUAAUUCACUAUAGCAAAUGUUAACCAUUUCUGGAAAAGGGAAGUCCUGCCAACUAACUACUGGUGCAGCUGUUAAGCUGGGUUGGUGGAGGCCUGUAGCUGCUGCAAGGUGUUUGUGUUUUCAGGUUUCCUUCUACAGCAUGAGGGCCCCUACUUCCCUUUCUGGAUGCCCCUACACUUCAGUAACUCAAUAUGGAGGAGAUUUCUCUGCUCCCAAACACCAGCAGGAAGAGAGAAACUGUGAAGGCAGUCGGUCUGCAUCACAGUUGUUGUGGUCACCCCCGCACUGUGUCCCUGUCCACACCAUGCCACCCAUGAUGGCGUGGCAGCCACUUUUCACCUGCAAGGACACCGAUCGUAGGUAAAUAUUUAUUUUCGAAAAUUGCUUCCUAAAACAGGACAUGAUACGGGACUGGCUGGGUUUGAGCUCAAGCUGACUCAUGAGGAAGCAAGACUAACAUUUUCCUAGAGGGUGAACUCAAAAUUCCACAAGCUCAGCCUCCCACCGUCUGAGCACAGUGCAAACUUUGCUAUCCUCCUGAAAAGUUG
rnacentral:lncRNA from 1 species